GACGAACGCUGGCGGCGUGCCUAACACAUGCAAGUCGAACGGGGUAAGGAGAGCUUGCUUUCCUUACUUAGUGGCGAACGGGUGAGUAACGCGUGAGAAACCUGCCUCUCAGUGGGGGACAACAGUUGGAAACGACUGCUAAUACCGCAUAAUGUAUUCGGAGGGCAUCCUUUGGAUACCAAAGCUUUAUGUGCUGAGAGAUGGUCUCGCGUCUGAUUAGCUAGAUGGCGGGGUAACGGCCUACCAUGGCGACGAUCAGUAGCCGGUCUGAGAGGAUGAACGGCCACAUUGGGACUGAGAUACGGCCCAGACUCCUACGGGAGGCAGCAGUGGGGAAUAUUGGGCAAUGGGGGAAACCCUGACCCAGCAACGCCGCGUGAAGGAAGAAGGCCUUCGGGUUGUAAACUUCUUUUACCAGGGACGAGGAACGUGACGGUACCUGGAGAAAAAGCAACGGCUAACUACGUGCCAGCAGCCGCGGUAAUACGUAGGUUGCAAGCGUUGUCCGGAUUUACUGGGUGUAAAGGGCGUGUAGGCGGAGCUGCAAGUCAGAUGUGAAAUCCCGGGGCUCAACCCCGGAACUGCAUUUGAAACUGUAGCCCUUGAGUAUCGGAGAGGCAAGCGGAAUUCCUAGUGUAGCGGUGAAAUGCGUAGAUAUUAGGAGGAACACCAGUGGCGAAGGCGGCUUGCUGGACGACAACUGA
rnacentral:rRNA from 1 species